UCUCGAUUGGUCUAGUGGUAAGGAUACCUGCUUGUCAUUGACAUUCUGUUUAGUACUUCACGAUGGUGGGUACUAACUGAUGAGUUACAAGCCGCAGGUGGCCGGGGUUCGAUUCCCCGAUCGAGAG